GGUCCUGUAGUGAAAUUCACGGCGAAUUGCAAACUCGCAGAUGUGCUUUAAGUUGCACCUGGGCUUA
rnacentral:tRNA from 1 species